UACGUAGGUGGCAAGCGUUGUCCGGAAUUAUUGGGCGUAAAGCGCGCGCAGGCGGCCUCUUAAGUCUGAUGUGAAAGCUCCCGGCUUAACUGGGAGAGGUCAACAGAUACUGUCGAACUUGAGUAUGGGAGAGGGUACUGGAAUUCCUGGUGUAGCGGUGAAAUGCGCAGAGAUCAGGAGGAACACCGAUGGCGAAAGCAGGUACCUGGACCAUUACUGACGCUCAGCUGCGAAAGCUAGGGGAGCAAACAGG
rnacentral:rRNA from 1 species